rnacentral:tRNA from 1 species
GGGGUCGUAGCUCAGUCGGUAGAGCGCCUGCAUGGCAUGCAGGAGGUCAGGGGUUCGAUUCCCCUCGGCUCCACCA